UUAGUUUUUUUUGUGUGGUUGUUCUUCAUUUAUAUUUUCUUUUAAUAAAAUGAACCAUUUUUAUUUGAGCACCUUGCAGAUAUUCAUUUUGUUUAUGGUCUGGCUGAUGGAAACGCGCUUGAAGCUCGUAGGAUGUACUUGUUAAGAUUUCCUCUAGAGAACUUUCAGUAGCUCUCAUCAGCAUCUCCGGGAAUUUGGAAGAUUCCAAACUAUCAGAAUGAAUGUUGGUAGGCCGCGUUAAGUCCGCAAGGCAAUGACGGAAGAGGAAAUUCUGUAACUUAUUGAGGAGAAUCCUGCGUUAAGCACGAGGAAAAUUGCACGGGAUUUAAACCUUCGUCAAUCGACAGUUUGGAGGGUUUUACAUGAAAACAGUUUUUAUACAUACCAUACCCAGUGCGUGCAUGGUUUUCCCCAGCGGGUACAAUUUGCAAGAUGGAUACUAAAUAAUUGUGCCAGGGAUCCGCACUUUUUAUCUCGCAUCCUAUUUACGGACGGAGCCCAGUUUACCCGCGAUGGGGUCGUUAAUUAUCAUAACGUCCAUGUUUGGGAAAUUGACAAUCCCCACGAAAUUCGACAGUCGAACCACCAAAAGCAGUUCAGUUUGAAUGUUUGGGCAAGGAUUGUUGCAGACUUUUUAAUUGAAUCAUUUACCCGGUUUAUUGGAGGAUCAUGCACGAUGGAGCCCCUCCCAAUUUUCGAAUAACUGUCCGCGAAUAUUUAGACCUUGAAUUCUCCAGAGCCAAUCCAAUAGCUUGGCCACCGCGUUUCCCAGACUGUACCCCGCUAGAUUUCUUUCUAUGGGGCCAUGUUAAAAGCCUCGUGUAUGAUGCUGUUCCUUCCAUUGAAAUCCUACAACAACGGAUAUUUCAUGCCUUCGAGGUAGUCAGAAACACUUCCGAAAUUUUUGAACGCGUUCGGCAGUCCAUGAGGCGAAGAAUGGAGGGUUGUAUCGCCGCAGGAGGCAGUCAUUUCCAGUAUUUGUUAUGAAAAUCUGCCUUUGUAUGUAUCUAUUACUUAGGCUAAGUUAAAUUUUGGAAAGAAAUUAAAUGAAUCUCAAUAAUC